AAGGACGCCGGCGGAGAAAAA
rnacentral:sRNA from 1 species